rnacentral:rRNA from 1 species
UGGGGAAUAUUGCACAAUGGGCGCAAGCCUGAUGCAGCCAUGCCGCGUGUGUGAAGAAGGCCUUCGGGUUGUAAAGCACUUUCAGCGAGGAGGAAGGUGGUGAACUUAAUACGUUCAUCAAUUGACGUUACUCGCAGAAGAAGCACCGGCUAACUCCGUGCCAGCAGCCGCGGUAAUACGGAGGGUGCAAGCGUUAAUCGGAAUUACUGGGCGUAAAGCGCACGCAGGCGGUUUGUUAAGUCAGAUGUGAAAUCCCCGGGGCUCAACCUGGGAACUGCAUUUGAAACUGGCAAGCUAGAGUCUCGUAGAGGGGGGUAGAAUUCCAGGUGUAGCGGUGAAAUGCGUAGAGAUCUGGAGGAAUACCGGUGGCGAAGGCGGCCCCCUGGACGAAGACUGACGCUCAGGCUGCGAAAGCGUGGGGCAGCAAACAGGAUUAGAUACCCUGGUAGUCCACGCUGUAAACGAUGUCGAUUUGGAGGUUGUGCCC